UACGGGGGGGGCAAGCGUUGUUCGGAAUUACUGGGCGUAAAGGGUUCGUAGGUGGCUUGCUAAGUCAGACGUGAAAUCCCUCAGCUUAACUGGGGAACUGCGUCUGAUACUGGCGAGCUUGAGUGCGGGAGAGGAACGCGGAAUUCCAGGUGUAGCGGUGAAAUGCGUAGAUAUCGGGAGGAACACCAAUGGCGAAGGCAGCUUGCUGGGACGGUACUGACGCUGAGGCGCGAAAGCGUGGGGAGCAAACAGG
rnacentral:rRNA from 1 species